AUGUAGCUCAGUGGUAGAGCUGCUUGCUUAGAACACACAAAGACCUGGGUUCAAUCCCCAGCAU
rnacentral:tRNA from 1 species